UGUAAGAUGCAUUGUUCUCUGUGCUGUAGAGAUAUGUAAGAUGCACUGGUCUCUGUGUUGUAGAGGUAUGUAAGAUGCACUGGUCUCUGUGUUGUAGAGGUAUGUAAGAUGCACUGGUCUCUGUGCUGUAGAGGUAUGUAAGAUGCACUGGUCUCUGUGCUGUAGAGGUAUGUAAGAUGCUCUGGUCUCUGUGCUGUAGAGGUAUGUAAGAUGCACUGGUCUCUGUGCUGUAGAGGUAUGUAAGAUGCACUGGUCUCUGUGCUGUAGAGGUAUGUAAGAUGCUCUGGUCUCUGUGUUGUAGAAGUAUGUAAGAUGCACUGGUCUCUGUGCUGUAGAGGUAUGUAAGAUGCACUGGUCUCUGU